GAUGGCAAAGUAUUUUUGAUUUGGUUUUGUCUGUUUUUUAACUCCGAUGAUAAUCAUCCAUUGAAUCACAUUUACUGCACUCUGGUUUAUUAUGGCCUGCCAGAGUGAACAGUGUCUAGAGAACAGGCAAUCCUUUCAUUAACUCUGAGUGCUUCCUCAGUCUGACACGUGGCACAGCGAAAUGCUGCCAGGUUUGGGUUAAACCGCAGCUCCAACGGUCCGAGGGGCACUUCGCCAUAGUGGAGAAUGGCAUGCACAAUGUGCAAAAGUGUUGCGCUGCCAGAGGACUCAGUCUGGUUCAUGAUAUCAGCCCCCUCCACCCCUCCUCUUUGUGACUCAUUAACAAGCUCAGGUCCCAGAGAUGAUGGAUGGAUCGCUUAGUCCUCCAGCUGUAAAUGAGGCAGAGAAGCGACAGACAUCAAAGGUAUUUGCAUCUUGUGAUGGCCUCACUUGUAGAUGUCACUGCAGAUGUUAUUGGCUGAGCAUGCCUUUUCCAAGCAUAAUUCACCAACCACCAAAACAAUACCAAAGAGAUUCACAGGAAACCAAAGACAAAUCCGAUCACAAGUUAACUAUCACUGUGUCGGACAACAUUGUUGAC